GUGGUGGUGAGUAACAUUAAUCCUGAGCUCAAAGGAAUGUUUUGGGAGGAAAUGUAAACAGCUGAAAAGUAGGUUUCAGGAGAUAGAGAAGUUUAAAAGUGAAAAGAAAACUGGGAAGGGUGAGUUUGUUUAUAGUAAAUAGUUUUCACCCUUUUGUAACCAUCAAUACUAAAAUGCAUUUCUAACGAACUACACAGAGUGAACUACACAGAGCGUUUAGGUUUUAAUUAAUUUUGAAAAUAAUCAAGAAUUUGUAGGGAUUAAGUGUCAACAAUUGAAUUUUUCCAGCCCCAAAGUCUGCACUGAGCAACCAAUGAUAAAAUAAUGAAAUAGUCAAUAUAAAAGAAGCUCAUUGACUAAAUUACCAUUGAUUAAGGAAAAGGGAGAGUAAAAAAAUAUUCUUUGAUAUUAGUCAUCCAUAGUACUUAGUGUAAAGUGUGUAAGCAUGAGCUUAAGGGUGCAUGCACAUGUGGGUUUUGUGAUGUACCUGAUCACCUAUGGUCAAUAAAAAAAUAAUAAUAAUAAUUGACUUACCAUGAGCUGAUAUAUUGACAUCAGCAUUUUUUUCUAGAAGGCAUUUCAAAGCUUCCAGCUGAUUAUAGUGAAUAGCAUACAUCAAUGGAGUCCUGCCCAAACAGUCAGUUUCAUUCACUAAAGUUGGAUCUAAAAAUACAAAAAGGUUAAGCUGUUAUUGUAACAGAACAGAACACCCAGAAUUAAACAGUGGUCAGGAAUGAAAUACUACAUAAGUUUGUAAUUAGUAGAAGCGGGUAUGAAAAGAAAAAGAAAGAAAGAAAAAGCCAUGAAACAGUACUUCUAAAAUAAACCAUACCCUGAACUCUUUAAUGUUGUUAGUUGAAACCUAACUGAGAUAUAUAACUAAAGUGUUGACAUGCUGACUCAAGACAAUAUUUACCACCACAACCAUCAUCAUCAUCAUCAUCAUCAUCAUCAUCACCACUAAACGUUUGUUUUCCAAGCUACUGAGGGUUGGAUAGUUUGACAGGAACUGGGGCAAUGUUGAGCUCCAAUGUCAGCUUCAGCAUGGUUUUUUUCCUUUUUUUUUUACGGCUAGUUGCCUUUCUUAAUACCAUCCACUUUACAGAGUGUAUUGGUUGCUUUUUUGUCAUGCCACCAGCACUAAAAAUCCAUUAGUCAAAAAUGACAGGCACUCAUAUAUUAGUUAAUAAAGUAUGUUGUUGUU